rnacentral:rRNA from 1 species
UAGGGAAUCUUCGGCAAUGGACGGAAGUCUGACCGAGCAACGCCGCGUGAGUGAAGAAGGUUUUCGGAUCGUAAAGCUCUGUUGUAAGAGAAGAACGAGUGUGAGAGUGGAAAGUUCACACUGUGACGGUAUCUUACCAGAAAGGGACGGCUAACUACGUGCCAGCAGCCGCGGUAAUACGUAGGUCCCGAGCGUUGUCCGGAUUUAUUGGGCGUAAAGCGAGCGCAGGCGGUUAGAUAAGCCUGAAGUUAAAGGCUGUGGCUUAACCAUAGUAGGCUUUGGAAACUGUUUAACUUGAGUGCAAGAGGGGAGAGUGGAAUUCCAUGUGUAGCGGUGAAAUGCGUAGAUAUAUGGAGGAACACCGGUGGCGAAAGCGGCUCUCUGGCUUGUAACUGACGCUGAGGCUCGAAAGCGUGGGGAGCAAACGGGAUUAGAUACCCUGGUAGUCCACGCUGUAAACGAUGAGUGCUAGGUGUUAGACCCUUUCCGGGGUUUAGUACCGUAGCUAACGCAUUAAGCACUCCGCCUGGGGAGUACGACCGCAAGGUUG